rnacentral:rRNA from 2 species
GGGUUGUGAGGUUAAGCGACUAAGCGUACACGGUGGAUGCCCUGGCAGUCAGAGGCGAUGAAGGACGUGCUAAUCUGCGAUAAGCGCCGGUAAGGUGAUAUGAACCGUUAUAACCGGCGAUUUCCGAAUGGGGAAACCCAGUGUGAUUCGUCACACUAUCAUUAACUGAAUCCAUAGGUUAAUGAGGCGAACCGGGGGAACUGAAACAUCUAAGUACCCCGAGGAAAAGAAAUCAACCGAGAUUCCCCCAGUAGCGGCGAGCGAACGGGGAGGAGCCCAGAGCCUGAAUCAGCAUGUGUGUUAGUGGAAGCGUCUGGAAAGGCGCGCGAUACAGGGUGACAGCCCCGUACACAAAAGCGCAUGUGCUGUGAGCUCGAUGAGUAGGGCGGGACACGUGGUAUCCUGUCUGAAUAUGGGGGGACCAUCCUCCAAGGCUAAAUACUCCUGACUGACCGAUAGUGAACCAGUACCGUGAGGGAAAGGCGAAAAGAACCCCGGCGAGGGGAGUGAAAAAGAACCUGAAACCGUGUACGUACAAGCAGUGGGAGCACAGGUUUACCUGUGUGACUGCGUACCUUUUGUAUAAUGGGUCAGCGACUUAUAUUCUGUAGCAAGGUUAACCGAAUAGGGGAGCCGGAGGGAAACCGAGUCUUAAUUGGGCGUUAAGUUGCAGGGUAUAGACCCGAAACCCGGUGAUCUAGCCAUGGGCAGGUUGAAGGUUGGGUAACACUAACUGGAGGACCGAACCGACUAAUGUUGAAAAAUUAGCGGAUGACCUGUGGCUGGGGGUGAAAGGCCAAUCAAACCGGGAGAUAGCUGGUUCUCCCCGAAAGCUAUUUAGGUAGCGCCUCGUGAAUUCAUCUCCGGGGGUAGAGCACUGUUUCGGCUAGGGGGCCAUCCCGGCUUACCAACCCGAUGCAAACUGCGAAUACCGGAGAAUGUUAUCACGGGAGACACACGGCGGGUGCUAACGUCCGUCGUGAAGAGGGAAACAACCCAGACCGCCAGCUAAGGUCCCAAAGUCAUGGUUAAGUGGGAAACGAUGUGGGAAGGCCCAGACAGCCAGGAUGUUGGCUUAGAAGCAGCCAUCAUUUAAAGAAAGCGUAAUAGCUCACUGGUCGAGUCGGCCUGCGCGGAAGAUGUAACGGGGCUAAACCAUGCACCGAAGCUGCGGCAGCGAACGUAUCACCCAAGACAACUUUACGGAGUUGACGAUUGACGGAGCGAAGCGACGUCAAAGCGUUCAUUAAAGUCGAGUUGGCUUAGGGAUACGUUCGUUGGGUAGGGGAGCGUUCUGUAAGCCUGUGAAGGUGUGUCGUGAGGCAUGCUGGAGGUAUCAGAAGUGCGAAUGCUGACAUAAGUAACGAUAAAGCGGGUGAAAAGCCCGCUCGCCGGAAGACCAAGGGUUCCUGUCCAACGUUAAUCGGGGCAGGGUGAGUCGACCCCUAAGGCGAGGCCGAAAGGCGUAGUCGAUGGGAAACGGGUUAAUAUUCCCGUACUUGGUGUUACUGCGAAGGGGGGACGGAGAAGGCUAUGUUGGCCGGGCGACGGUUGUCCCGGUUUAAGCGUGUAGGUGUGUGUUCCAGGUAAAUCCGGUU